rnacentral:rRNA from 1 species
GACGAACGCUGGCGGCGUGCUUAACACAUGCAAGUCGAACGCUGAACCCGCUUCGGUGGGGGAUGAGUGGCGAACGGGUGCGUAACACGUGGGCAACCUGCCCCCGGCUCUGGGAUAACUCCAAGAAAUUGGGGCUAAUACCGGAUGUGACCGCUGGCCGCAUGGUCUGGUGGUGGAAAGGGUUUCCGGCUGGGGAUGGGCCCGCGGCCUAUCUGCUUGUUGGUGGGGUAGUGGCCUACCAAGGCGACGACGGGUAGCCGGCCUGAGAGGGUGACCGGCCACACUGGGACUGAGACACGGCCCAGACGCCUACGGGAGGCAGCAGUGGGGAAUAUGGCGCAAUGGGCGGAAGCCUGACGCAGCGACGCCGCGUGGGGGAUGACGGCCUUCGGGUUGUAAACCUCUUUCAGCAGGGACGAAGCGCAAGUGACGGUACCUGCAGAAGAAGCACCGGCCAACUACGUG